AUAUGUGAUAAACAAAUGGCCAAUUUCCAGCAAUUAUAUUUUUAUAAAGUUGAAAACUUUUGAAAGAGCAUACGCGAAACGAUUACACUAAUAUAUUACACACAUUUUGUAUGUUUGAUUAUAUAGAUAUAUAUAUUUGAUUACACCAUGUUUCUCUUAAAAUCUAUAUUCACUUUCGCAAGGUUUACAAACUAGUCAAAUCGACCUGGCUUGCAGAACUGUAGAGGAAUUUAUGGAACUAUAUUACAAGUAUCUGAACAAAUAGAGAAAUAUGAUUUUAAGAAUGUACAUGGACAAUACUUUGAUAUGGAAUGGAAAUGGUAUUGUUGGCAAAGACAAUAUACAACAGUACUGGAUAGAUCUGCCAUUUUCGGAGCAUACAGUUCAUACGAUUGACACUCAGUCAACUACAGAUAAAUACUAAUAAUCACACCAUACUCUUGCAUUCUUGACUAUAAAAAUAUUAGAUGAGUAGAAAUAUUUGAAAAUAUUAAAUCCAUUAUGAUUUUUGUGACUUAGAUUUUGACAGAAUUUCUUAUUGCACUUAAAUGAGUUCUCUUAUUUCGAUAUUUAUGUGUUAAGAUAAUGUCUAACACAUUUUUCUUUUACUAUUUGUCUCGCAGUUACCAAAAAUUUGCUAAAUUUUUUUCUCGUUUUUAAUAUUGUAUGAAAUAUUAUAGAAUGAUAGAAUAAAACAUGGAAUAUUAAAUUGUAUUAUGUCAAAUAGGUCUAGAGAUAACCAGCCAGUUUAGGAUUCAAAAUCAGAUGUCAAGUGAAAUAUAAGGAGACAUACAAA